AUGACUGCCCGCUCCUGGCCACAGACACUGCAGGAAGCUGUGAACAUUCCCAAGUUGGAACAACCUUCCCACUUUAGGCCCACAGUCUAGCUUUUCCUCCAAUGCAAUCUAACCCAUAUUGGGCCUCUGGUAUGUCACCAAAGCUUCUAAUCAUUUGAAACCAUGGUUAUCAGUUCAUCUUUUUCUGGUAACUAAAGAGAAACGUCCGUCUGGUGGCAACAGGGAUGACUGAUUACAGCUGGGUAAAAUCUGAUGGGAAAGAGGUAAAUGAGGAGCCCAAAGCUGGAACCCAGAUGCAUAAUAGGAUAAUGGUGUCAAGAGAAGGAGGAACAUGAAGAGAGGAAGAGAAGAAAUAUUGAAUUCAAGAGGGAAAUGUUUAUGUGAAAGAAAUAAGGAUUAAAGAGGCAGGAUGAGGAAACCGGGAGACUUUUUAGAAGACUGGGAAAUAAGACCUCUUCUAAAAUACUCAUGGUCAGUGUGAGAUGGAGAGGUGAAGCCACAUUGAUCAUGAACAGCCCUCAAAAUGAAAUGAAGACUGCUGAAAGAGGCCCCUGACUCCAAGCUCAAAGGAAUGACUUAGGAAGUCAGCAAUCCAAUCACCAUCUCUGCAUACGAGUUCAGCAUCAGGGCUCUCCUGGAUUACGGCCAACGAGCUCCUAAUUGAUCCCUUCUUACCACAAAGUGACCUUUCUAAAAUAUGAGAUCAUGUGAGCCUCUUGGUGA